rnacentral:rRNA from 1 species
GACGAACCGUCCAAACGUUAUUCGGAAUCACUGGGCUUAAAGGGUGCGUAGGCGGCGCGGCAAGUUGGGUGUGAAAUCCCUCGGCUCAACCGAGGAACUGCGCCCAAAACUGCCGUGCUCGAGGGAGAUAGAGGUGAGCGGAACUUAGGGUGGAGCGGUGAAAUGCGUUGAUAUCCUAAGGAACACCGGUGGCGAAAGCGGCUCACUGGCCCGAUACUGACGCUGAGGCACGAAAGCGUGGGGAGCAAACAGG